UUCAAAUCAAUUUCUCUUCAAAUUUUUUCUCAGAUAAAUUGUCACUGCUUCACUGAACCCUAAAUCAACUUUGCAAAUAUACCUCACUCAUUGAACCCUAAAUUAAAUUUUCCACACCACCGCUUCACCUCUCUCUCGUACAACUCUUCUCUUCUUCUCCACGGGACACCGAACAUCUCUUCUCUCCCUCUCUCUAUGAGUUCCAAAUCGUCCAAUAAUACUGUGUUGUUGAGGUUUUUCAUCAUCAAAUCGUCCAAACCCACGGCUCCUCGAUUCAAAUCAGUUCCAACAAAGCUCCUUUUCUUCAAUGGUAUUAUUUCCGAAUUCAUACCUAUAACUUCUUUUAUCAUCUCAACAUCACUAUUUCAUUCACAAAUUCAUACCUAUAACUUCAUAGGUAAUCGAGUUUUCUUAAUUGGUUGAAUUGAGAUUUCGAAUAAUUGAAUUGAACUCCCAUUGAAAUUGAUUUUUUAUUUAUUUAUUUUAGUAUCUAAAAUGGCCUUUAGGUGAAUUUGUGUAAUAAUAAUAGCAGUAUUUGAAAAUACCCUCAUUGUUUUUUUUUUGUUUGUAAAUUAUAAUUAUGAUAAACACAGUGUAAGUCUGUAAGUGCUUGGUAGAAAUUUACUUGGCUCAAAAUAGAAUGUAGUCGAAAAAUUGGAACUUGAAAUGAAAGAAUCGGGGUUUUUGGUGUAAGUUGUUGACAUGUUUAGGGGGAAUGUAUAAGUUUUCAAAUGUCGACUCAUAUCUCAAUGCGUUUAAGAAGGAAAUGUUAUGAAGUAAUGCAUGUUUGUAGUGUCAACAACUGGGGGACAAAAGAGUAUGAAUAAGUAGAGGUUGCCAAGCUGAGGAAGCAGAGAGUUUUUCUGUUGUUUAUAGCAAUGAGCAGAGAAUUAAAGAAAAUUAUAAUAUUGUUGUUAUGAUUUGUAGGUGUUGAUUUCAAGAUCAAAAGACUCACCGUAGGUGGAAAAAGAUUAAAACUUACAAUUUGGGACACAAGUAUGUAUAUACUAUAGUCAGAUUAGAUCUUUCAGUUCAAGAAGAAAAACCAAACUGAACCAUUAUAAUAGUUCGGUAAAACUGAAUCAAUUUGUUAACGGUUAUCCCAAACUGAACUGGUAUAAAGGUUCGGUGCAUCGAUUUUGUGGUUCCAAACCAAACUCCCUUUUUAGAAAAUCGAAUCGUAUUUUUUUCAAAUUGAACUGCUUCUUUGUGAACUGAAUUGAAUUGUUCACGAACUUAACCAAAUCGAAUCGUUUCAGUUCGCUCCAAUUUGUGAACUGUCAGUCACAAUUAAGUUUAUAUGUUUUUAUAACAGUACUGGCCUACCAGGUAACAAAGUAUGUAAAGAUAGAGGGGAUUAUUGAACAAGUAAUUUGAGUCCCAGUCACACAUUGAAGUUCAUUGAACAAGUAAUUUAUACACAAGAGGGAAUUAUUGUACAAAUAUAUACAAUAAGAAGUUCUCUUACAAAGGUUUGUCUAAUAUUUGUCUCGAUCAAUUAGAAUUUCGUAGAUAGAGUACCAAAUGUUCAUAUUUUUUUGCUCAAAUUUCACGUAUUUCAUGCUCUUGAAUUUAAUAUAAUCAAUCUAGGUACUCAAUUGCUUUGCUCUUUGCAUAGAUUUUUGCAGGUAGAUUGUAUGUUUGAAAUAUCAAUUGACUAAUGGAGAUAGCAUCACUCAUGUAUCGAGUAGGUCUAUAGACUAUAGGUGUAUCAAUUAGCUUAUUUUAUGUUUAUUAAGUUUCUAGUUUUUUAUUUGAAUGAUUAUUUUUGUGUGUAUUGUGUUUAUCCAUUUCAGUUUUAUCUUCUUCAUGAUUUGAUUGAUUCUUCAUGGUUUUUACGAUAUUUGGUGUACUUGAAGAAAGGGAAGUUCGGCUGGAACCUCAAAUCAUACAUCGUGCCAUAUUAGUCAUGAUGAUUUUGAAGCCAUGAAUGAAUUUGAAUAAUUUAGGGGAGCUAGUUUGUUGAGAGCUUUCUAAGUUCUAUAUCAUAUCUUACUUUUUACAGAUUUCCUAUUGUGUUUAUCUUCAUAAACUUCCAGAAGUUUUGUAAAAGUCUUCGGAAUCAAGCAUUGUUGUAAGCACUUUUAAGCAGGACGACGGCCUCGAGUUAUGAUGUGGACAUUGCAGCAAGGAGGAAGUGGACGGAACUGAAUGGCACUCCCCCCGCUCCUUCAGAUUUGUUUGUUCACACACACCAACAUCGCAAGAAUAAACUUGAGUGUGGCAGAUGAUAAUGAUGUAUGUCUGAUGAUGAUGAUCAAGUUCAUGAAGAUGAUGUGGCAGAUGAUAAACUGAUGAUGAUAUGUCUGAUGAUGGUGUAGUAGUGUGGCUUACUUUUUUGUAGUUUUUUGAGUUAGGAUAUUGACUUUUUGUAUGCAAGAAUUGAAAGGGAUUUAUUCCCCCUUAGUCUUGGUUAUGUUUUGGUUGAUUUGUAAUACUUAUUACUUAAAUAUAAAUAUAUUAUGUUCA